rfam:Picea glauca, whole genome shotgun sequence.
ACCCUUUCGACUCAGUAGUAGAGUAACACCAUGGUAAGGCAUAAUUCAUUGGUUCAAUUCCGGUAAAGGGCU